rnacentral:rRNA from 1 species
UACAGAGGUGGCAAGCGUUGUUCGGAAUUACUGGGCGUAAAGGGCGCGUAGGCGGCCUACUAAGUCAGACGUGAAAUCCCCGGCUUAACCUGGGAACUGCGUCUGAUACUGGAAGGCUUGAGUAUGGGAGAGGGAUGUAGAAUUCCAGGUGUAGCGGUGAAAUGCGUAGAUAUCUGGAGGAAUACCGGUGGCGAAGGCGGCAUCCUGGACCAUUACUGACGCUGAGGCGCGAAAGCUAGGGGAG